rnacentral:lncRNA from 1 species
AUGUUAAUCGCUCACUUGAGUGAUGGACAAACAGACCCAAUCCUAAUCUGGACGAUCCUCCCAAGGUGGAAGAGAAAGGUAUCGGAUGUUGUGCAUAUCCAACAAUUCCUGAAUAUGACCCUCAGGAUUCUCCCAAGGAGGAAGAGAAAGGGCGAAGGAGCAGGAACUGGAGCAGUGGUUCGAAUUCCUGAACCAAGACCUGCAAGAAGUCAUGGAGACAGAAGAGGGGCUCAAGAUGGAGCUUCAGCAGUGGCGAGAGCAGCUCCUCCAGAAAUCACCCAAUCAGAAGAACAAGUUGGUGAAACAUCUGGACCUCAAAGUGACGCAGUGAGUAUUCCUGUUCCCAGCUGAUGGGCAAAAGAGGGAGCCAAGUAGCGGUGAGUGGGUUUAUGGACAACAGGGAAAAACCCUGUUUCCUGUCCCAUCUCCCAGGAACCGGGGUUUGAGAUCAGCGGUUUCUCCAGUUUGUGGACACCCUCUCUGCCAUCUGAGACAGUAACCCUAAGCUUAGGUGGACCCACGGUGCCUUUGGUUUAAGGCAGUGUCCUCUACUCCCAUUCAAACAGCCUUUAUUGAGUAUCUUGAGGACUAGAAUCUC